ensembl:snoRNA small nucleolar RNA SNORA40
AGCCAUUUACGACUAGUUUAUACCCAUUCAAUUAAAGGGUAGACAGUUGCUAAAAAUAAAGCCUCUUUUGCAACCCAGAAUUCAUUGUUCAGUAUGAGUUUUGAUACAUAUGAGAAGGAAAAAA